rnacentral:misc_RNA from 1 species
AAAGUCGUAACAAGGUUUCCGUAGGUGAACCUGCGGAAGGAUCAUUACCGAAUAAUGACAUGCACCUUCGCUGUAGGUAGACCAGCCACUGGACUGCUGCAGUCAGAAUUUGAUGCAAAUCUAAUAACUCGCCUGGGGGUUUGGAUGUCGGAUGCUGUUGCAGCCUGCGCCUUUGGGGUCUCCUAUGCCUUUUCUUUUCCACCACACAAAACCUGUAAUCGUAUGGUGUUGCACAUAUAUAAUAUAACUUUCAACAACGGAUCUCUUGGCUCUC